rnacentral:rRNA from 1 species
UACGGAGGGGACUAGCGUUGUUCGGAAUUACUGGGCGUAAAGCGCACGUAGGCGGAUUUGUAAGUCAGGGGUGAAAUCCCGAGGCUCAACCUCGGAACUGCCUUCGAUACUGCGGGUCUCGAGUCCGGGAGAGGUGAGUGGAAUUCCUAGUGUAGAGGUGAAAUUCGUAGAUAUUAGGAAGAACACCAGUGGCGAAGGCGGCUCACUGGCCCGGUACUGACGCUGAGGCGCGAAAGCGUGGGGAGCAAACAGG